rnacentral:rRNA from 1 species
UGGGGAAUAUUGGACAAUGGGGGAAACCCUGAUCCAGCGACGCCGCGUGUGUGAAGAAGGCCUGCGGGUUGUAAAGCACUUUCGGUGGGAACGAAAUAUGCCGGGCUAAUACCCCGGUAGGCUGACGUUACUCAAUGAAGAAGCACCGGCUAACUCUGUGCCAGCAGCCGCGGUAAUACAGAGGGUGCGAGCGUUAAUCGGAAUUACUGGGCGUAAAGCGCACGUAGGUGGCGACGUAAGUCGGGUGUGAAAGCCCCGGGCUCAACCUGGGAACCGCAUUCGAGACUGCGUUGCUGGAGUACGGAAGAGGAGGGCGGAAUUCCCGGUGUAGCGGUGAAAUGCGUAGAUAUCGGGAGGAAUACCGAUGGCGAAGGCAGCCCCCUGGGAUAACACUGACGCUCAUGCACGAAAGCGUGGGGAGCAAACAGGAUUAGAUACCCAGGUAGUCCCUGAGCGGGCUGGCAAGGCGCAU